UCUUGCUGUUUCAGAGUUUUCAUGGCUUAGACUGGUUUUACAGUCAGUCACAAGAACUCCACACUCUGGGGAUCCGGGUGGACGACACAGGCUGUGCCACAGGCUCUGUGGGCCGCCUGAGAAAGGAAAUUAAUUCCUCUUUGAGAGAAAAUUACUUUAACAGAUAGCAUGGCGGAGGCAGGCUGUAACUUUGCCGCUGUCACCCCCCCAGUCCCUCCAAAGCAUCCGAAGGCAGCAGAGGCAGUGCAGCAGAGGAAAAGGCGCCUUAGCUCGAUUACAUGAGGAGAACAGCGGCCUUCCCGGGGAGUGACAGCAUGAAAGCAUAAAGGAAAAUGUUGACAGCUUUGAAUGCAUAUGUUAUUUUUUAACUCACUUCACGUAGCCUGAGAUGGACAAAACCAUUUGUGUAAUUACUGAAAUUUGCAUGGACUAUUUCCAAUUUGCAUAAAAGUGAAAAAUAAGUAGUUAAAAUGUAGUUUUUCUUCUCUAAAUUAAAGCUUACUAUUACAUACAGUUAAA